UACGGAGGGUGCGAGCGUUGCUCGGAAUCACUGGGCGUAAAGCGCACGUAGGCGGCUUCUUAAGUCAGGGGUGAAAUCCUGGAGCUCAACUCCAGAACUGCCUUUGAUACUGAGAAGCUUGAGUCCGGGAGAGGUGAGUGGAACUGCGAGUGUAGAGGUGAAAUUCGUAGAUAUUCGGAAGAACACCAGUGGCGAAGGCGGCAUCCUGGACCGACACUGACGCUGAGGAGCGAAAGCCAGGGGAGCAAACGGG
rnacentral:rRNA from 1 species